CUACGGGAGGCAGCAGUGGGGAAUAUUCGGCAAUGGGGGCAACCCUGACCGAGCAACGCCGCGUGGAGGAUGACGGUUUUCGGAUUGUAAACUCCUUUUCUGCGGGAAGAGGCAGGACGGUACCGCAGGAAUAAGUCACGGCUAACUACGUGCCAGCAGCCGCGGUAAUACGUAGGUGGCAAGCGUUAUCCGGAAUUACUGGGCGUAAAGCGCACGCAGGUGGCAUGUUAAGUCUGACGUGAAAGCUCCUGGCUUAACUGGGAGAGGUCGUUGGAGACUGGCAGGCUUGAGGUAAGGAGAGGGGUGCAGAAUUCCCGGUGUAGUGGUGGAAUGCGUAGAUAUCGGGAGGAAUACCAGUGGCGAAAGCGGCACCCUGGCCUUGGCCUGACGCUCAGGUGCGAAAGCGUGGGGAGCGAACGGGAUUAGAUACCCUUGUAGUCC
rnacentral:rRNA from 1 species